rnacentral:tRNA from 1 species
GCGGGUGUAGUAUAAUGGCAAAAUCCCAGUUUCCCAAAUUGGAGAUGUGGGUUCGAUUCCCAUCACCCGCU